GUCCACGCCGUAAACGAUGUCAACUAGCCGUUGGUCCUAUUUACAGGAUUAGUGGCGCAGCUAACGCAUUAAGUUGACCGCCUGGUGAGUACGGCCGCAAGGUUAAAACUCAAAUGAAUUGACGGGGGCCCGCACAAGCGGUGGAGCAUGUGGUUUAAUUCGAUGCAACGCGAAGAACCUUACCUACCCUUUACAUCCAGAGAAUCUGUUAGAGAUAGUAGAGUGCCUUCGGGAGCUCUGAGACAGGUGCUGCAUUGCUGUCGU
rnacentral:rRNA from 1 species